rfam:Schistosoma margrebowiei strain Zambia genome assembly, scaffold: SMRZ_scaffold0002725
AUCACGGUCCUAUUAAGGACCACCACAUUGUGAUUUGUCUUUGUGU